rnacentral:lncRNA from 1 species
CUCAGCUAGAAGCUAUGUCAGACCAACUUCAUUUAGUUCUUGAGAUUUUUUGUGGCUUUGGAUUUAUAGUCUACGAGCAAUGCUCAUGCUUCUGUGAUUCCUUCCAGCUCUAAAAUACAUGUAUGCUUUUCUCUAUGUUGUACUACUAAACUAUAUGUGGCCAUCAUAUUUUAGAUAAAUGAUGAUGUGGUAAUGCACACCUUUUAAAUGCUGCACGUGUGGUUCAGUAAAUCCUCACUAUCAUGUGUUGUGGCGUCCGUGUUGUUUUCAGAGCUUGAAGCAAGCAGAACACUGAAUAUAUCUUUAGGGCGGAAGAUAUAUUCAAAGUCGUCUCUUGUACUAAUGUUCAGGGCAAUGGGCGCUUGAUAUUUUAGGGCGGAAGGCUGAAGCAAAGAAAGCUGCGGCUCUUUAGUAUAUCUAUAGAUUUGCGGCUCUUUGAGCUGUGGUACAUUUGAUUCGAGACCCGGAUGAGGUCGGUUAAAUUAGGAUUAAAGUCUGCACAAUAACUAGGAACGCCGAACAAGCAAGGCUAUUCAGAUGAAGUCUGCACUUAAUACUAUAGGUUUCCUUUUGGGCUCCUGUACAGCUUCGCUAGCAUCAUAAAUUAAUUGUGGGAUAUAAUGCAUAGUAGUAGCUGCUUCUGUUUAUUGUGGAAAUCUUCUUAGUUUAUAGGUUUCCUUUUCGUCUCUUGUACUAAUGUUCAGGGCAAUGGAAAUCUUGUAUAAUAAUCUGUACGUAGUUGAUACUAACAACAGAAGGAUGACAUGUUUGUUUUUGGGCAUAAAGUUAUGCGCUGAUCCUCUUGCAUUUGGAUUCCGGUCUUACCCUGACUAUGCGGAUAUGCUAUUCUAGGUUGGUUUUACGUUUCUUAUUGGAAGAGUGAGAUGCACAGGACAGAAUCCAGUUUGUAUCAACGCCUCAUUGGUAAGCAUGCUCAGGUUUAAUGUUACUGCAAAUUCCUCCCUAAUUUCAGCCCUAGGAACUAUACCAGAUCAUCAUAAGGGUGUGUGAACUCGCACCUGGUCUUGAUGCUAUUUUUGCUGCAUGGUAGUCAUUGUUUUUUUAUGUCUUGCCAGAUGACCUCUUAAGUUCCUAUUUUAUUUUAUUUCUCUUAAGAGUGGUGUCUCUUGCAGAAUAGAAUCAUGUAGAUUCGGCUUCAUAAAGAAAUAGUUUUAAGGGAGGACUUCAAAGAGUAUUUUGCCAAAUUUGGUAAAGUGCGGGUAAAUUGAUUUUUGGUUGUCCUUUUUCUUUACAAUUGGUCGUGGAGCUUCUUGGAUUAAACUUGUAAAGAGUAGUAUUGGAAAGCCUCAUUUUUGUAAGAUGCUCUGGUAUUUCCGAGUAGAAGAAAGCAAAGCCAACAAUGGUCGUUAGAAAUUAUUAGUACUCUACAAAAUUUGUAACACAUCAUAUUAAUUGGGAACUCAAAUCUUGGUUGCAAAAUUUAGAUCUGUGCUAUAAAUGCAGGCAAUACAAAAGGUAGGAAGACCAUACGAAGACCAAUACAAAUAGGAGGAUGCAUGAGCUUCAGAUAUGAUUGAAUUCAGUCUGAAGAUGGAGACUUGAAGGAGGAAUUAGUGGAGAAUGGGAAGGUGGAUAGAACAUGGGAACCAAUCAAAUACGUGUAGGUAUGACAUGGUGCUUUUUUUAAUCUCUUGCGGAUGUCAAUAUUUUUCUACAGUUACAUAUAUAAAACUGAAUCACAAAGGAUUUUAUUUUUGAUUAGGUACACCAUAGAAUAGUCUCACAUCUUGGUUUAUUUAUUACCCUGUUUAAAUAUCAACCAACAUGCUUGUCAAAUUUGUAAUUUAUAAUUUGUUAUUUGCUUGCCUCAAGGCAAUAUUCUCCCAAGAUAUAUAUCUCUCUGUGUGUGUGUGUGUACUUGGACAGAAACACUUCCCAUACCCGAGGUCUCAGUUAAUGUACUGCUGUUGAAUUCUUCUGUCACUUUUGAUACAAAGCUAUAGCUAUACUUUCAUUUGCCAAGAAGAUAAAAUAGGUUAAAUACUGUGAUUUAGUUACUUUCAGAUUUUGGUAUAUUUUGAGAAGUGCUCCACAAAUAUGAAUGAAAGGAGCUUGUAUUUGAGGUAAUAGUCUAGGAAGUUUUAUUUAAGAUAUCAUCUGUGUCAAUGAAAAAUAGUACUAGACGUGUGAAUAAAGGCCACCUAUGACAUACAAAGUACUGUAAUAAAAUCGGAGGGCUGGGGAAGUGUUGGACUGGAGCCUCGCCCCCAUGCGGUAUGCUCUGUCCAAGUACGUGCUCCUGUUCGCCACAUCUGCAUACUGGAUGAAACCUGCGUGCUAAUUGCGUAUUAUGUGCAAGUCAGUAUUGAACGCUCUGUAUUAUUGUUCCAGAGAAGUAAGUUUCAACAGUUUCCGUGACAUUUCAUGUAUGUUCCAUGCAGUAGUCUAGGUGGGAAUUAUAUUGAUGAUUUCAUUUUACCUUCAUAUCUGCUGAAUUUUCUUACCAAACACAAAAGCUUUGUGUCUUGAGGUGUUGAUAGAAGUGAACAUAAUUCAUGAUACAAUCCUGAUACUCUGAAAAUAUUUUUAUGGUUCAGUAUUCCUACGAGGGGAGUGAGUAUGAGUGGAUCAACACGUGGAGCAGCUGCUGCCUAUGAGGCGAGUGAGUGGAGACGGCCUGAUCUGUGCAGCGGAGGGGCUAUAGAAGCUCGAACGAAAGAUUCGUCGCCAGCAUCGGAGCAAUUUAUUGGGCAGAUCGAUACUAAAGCUCAUGCAUGGACGUGAAGGCAUGUCUUUAUUAAGUUCAAUCUUUGGAAACUUGGCAUGUGACGCUGUGUAAAAAUAGAAGAUGCUAGAAAAUUGUCUCUGGCCAAUUUCGUAUGUAGCUGUGAGCAUUGCUAAUUUUUGUCAACAUGAAUGAUAUUUGGACUAUUUAUAUAGCUACCAUGUGCUGAACAAAUUGUCUGAUUAAUGUAACCCUCCCGAAUAGAUUGGUGUGUGUGCCAUGUCAUUUGGUCUGCGUUACACUAACAGAAUCAUUUUGUCAAUGCCCGGUCCAUUAAUACUCUUUCAAAAUUUUG